UACGGAGGAUCCAAGCGUUAUCCGGAAUCAUUGGGUUUAAAGGGUCCGUAGGCGGUUUAAUAAAUCAGUGGUGAAAGCCCAUCGCUCAACGGUGGAACGGCCAUUGAUACUGUUAAACUUGAAUUAUUAGGAAGUAACUAGAAUAUGUAGUGUAGCGGUGAAAUGCUUAGAGAUUACAUGGAAUACCAAUUGCGAAGGCAGGUUACUACUAAUGGAUUGACGCUGAUGGACGAAAGCGUGGGUAGCGAACAGG
rnacentral:rRNA from 1 species